CCCUGAUUGUGCGGCGACACGGGUGAGUAACACGUGGGCAACCUGCCUGUAAGACUGGGAUAACUUCGGGAAACCGAAGCUAAUACCGGAUAGGAUCUUCUCCUUCAUGGGAGAUGAUUGAAAGAUGGUUUCGGCUAUCACUUACAGAUGGGCCCGCGGUGCAUUAGCUAGUUGGUGAGGUAACGGCUCACCAAGGCAACGAUGCAUAGCCGACCUGAGAGGGUGAUCGGCCACACUGGGACUGAGACACGGCCCAGACUCCUACGGGAGGCAGCAGUAGGGAAUCUUCCGCAAUGGACGAAAGUCUGACGGAGCAACGCCGCGUGAGUGAUGAAGGCUUUCGGGUCGUAAAACUCUGUUGUUAGGGAAGAACAAGUACGAGAGUAACUGCUCGUACCUUGACGGUACCUAACCAGAAAGCCACGGCUAACUACGUGCCAGCAGCCGCGGUAAUACGUAGGUGGCAAGCGUUAUCCGGAAUUAUUGGGCGUAAAGCGCGCGCAGGCGGUUUCUUAAGUCUGAUGUGAAAGCCCACGGCUCAACCGUGGAGGGUCAUUGGAAACUGGGGAACUUGAGUGCAGAAGAGAAAAGCGGAAUUCCACGUGUAGCGGUGAAAUGCGUAGAGAUGUGGAGGAACACCAGUGGCGAAGGCGGCUUUUUGGUCUGUAACUGACGCUGAGGCGCGAAAGCGUGGGGAGCAAACAGGAUUAGAUACCCUGGUAGUCCACGCCGUAAACGAUGAGUGCUAAGUGUUAGAGGGUUUCCGCCCUUUAGUGCUGCAGCUAACGCAUUAAGCACUCCGCCUGGGGAGUACGGUCGCAAGACUGAAACUCAAGGAAUUGGACGGGGGGCCCGCACAAGCGGUGGAGCAUGUGGUUUUAUUUCGUAGCAACGCCGAAGAACCUUACUAGGUCUUGACAUUCCUCCUGACACUCUAAGAGAUUAGGAGCGUUCGCCUCUCCGGGGACAGGAAUUGACAGGUAGGUGCAUUGAUUGUCGUCACCUCCUGUCAGUCGAAUGAUAGCUUACAGUCCUCGCACCGAGCGCAACCCCUCGAUCUUAGAUUGCCAGGCAUAUAUUUGGGCACCUCCUAGCGUUACUGGCGCGUGCACAACCGAGCAGAUGUUGAGUAUGAACGUCCAGUACUCAUAGUCCCUCAGUGACUCCGGUGCGUAACGCACGUGUCUACACACAUACUGACGA
rnacentral:rRNA from 2 species